rnacentral:rRNA from 1 species
CACGGGGGUUGCGAGCGUUGUCCGGAAUUACUAGGCGUAAAGGGCAGGCAGGCGGAUCCAUAAGUUUAUCGUUUAAGGCGUCGGCUUAACCGGCGUAGGGCGGUAGAUACUGUGGAUCUGGAAUGCGGUUGGGGAAGACAGAAUUCCUGGUGUAUCGGUGGAAUGCGCAGAGAUCAGGAGGAAUACCGAAGGCGAAGGCAGUCUUCCAAGCCGUUAUUGACGCUCAACUGCGAAGGUGUGGGUAUCAAACAGGAUUAGAUACCCGCGUAGUCCCUGA